GCCCGUGUAGCUCAGUGGUAGAGCAUUGUACUUAUGAUGCAAGGGUCUCGAGUUCGAAUCUCGGCAUGGGCA
rnacentral:tRNA from 1 species